rnacentral:rRNA from 1 species
AGUGAACGCUGGCGGUAGGCCUAACACAUGCAAGUCGAACGGCAGCACAGUAAGAGCUUGCUCUUACGGGUGGCGAGUGGCGGACGGGUGAGGAAUACAUCGGAAUCUACUUUUUCGUGGGGGAUAACGUAGGGAAACUUACGCUAAUACCGCAUACGACCUACGGGUGAAAGCAGGGGAUCUUCGGACCUUGCGCGAUUGAAUGAGCCGAUGUCGGAUUAGCUAGUUGGCGGGGGAAAGGCCCACCAAGGCGACGAUCCGUAGCUGGUCUGAGAGGAUGAUCAGCCACACUGGAACUGAGACACGGUCCAGACUCCUACGGGAGGCAGCAGUGGGGAAUAUUGGACAAUGGGCGCAAGCCUGAUCCAGCCAUACCGCGUGGGUGAAGAAGGCCUUCGGGUUGUAAAGCCCUUUUGUUGGGAAAGAAAAGCAGCAGGUUAAUCCCCCGAUGUUCUGACGGUACCCAAAGAAUAAGCACCGGCUAACUUCGUG